rnacentral:rRNA from 1 species
UACGUAGGGCGCAAGCGUUGUCCGGAUUUAUUGGGCGUAAAGAGCUCGUAGGCGGUCUGUCGCGUCGGAUGUGAAAACCCGGAACUCAACUCCGGGCCUGCAUUCGAUACGGGCAGACUUGAGUACUGCAGGGGAGACUGGAAUUCCUGGUGUAGCGGUGGAAUGCGCAGAUAUCAGGAGGAACACCGGUGGCGAAGGCGGUUCUCUGGGCCUUACCUGACGCUGAGGAGCGAAAGCGUGGGGAGCGAACAGG